rnacentral:lncRNA from 1 species
AGAACGUGAGCUAUUGCCAGAGCCAGCUUCAGUCCUCAGGUUGGGCACAUCAGUAGCUGAGAGACUCCUCUGACCAUGGCCAGCCUCAGGAAGUGAGUGUCAACAGCCUUGCAGAUGGGAACUCAACUCCUGGGUACCCAUGCCUGAAAAGACGUAACUUUCUUCUCCUGUUUAAUAUUGCUGAUAUAUUGAUACACCAUGGAAUAAUAUGUAGCCAUAAAAAAGAAUGAGUUCACGUCCUUUGCAGCAGGAAGCCAUCAUUCUCAGCAAACUAACACAGGACAGAAAACCAAACACUGCAUGUUAUCACUCGUAAGUAGGAGUUGAACAAUGAGAACACAUGGACACAGGGAGGGGAACAUCACACACCAAAGUCUGUUGCGGGUUGGGGGUAAAGGGGAGGGAGAGCGUAAAACAAAUACCUAAUGCAUGUGGAGCUUAAAACCUAGAUGGCAGGUUGAUAGGUGCAGCAAACCACCAUGGCCCAUGUAUACCUAUGUAACAAACCUGCACAUUCGGC